GAUGAAGAACGCAGCGAAAUGCGAUAAGUAGUGUGAAUUGCAGAAUUCAGUGAAUCAUCGAAUCUUUGAACGCACAUUGCGCCCCUUGGUAUUCCAUGGGGCAUGCCUGUUCGAGCGUCAUUUGUACCUUCAAGCCUUGCUUGGUGUUGGGUGUUUGUCUCGCCUCUGCGCGCAGACUCGCCUCAAAACAAUUGGCAGCCGGCGUAUUGAUUUCGGAGCGCAGUACAUCUCGCGCUUUGCACUCAGAACGACGACGUCCAAAAGUACGUUUUUACACUCUUGACCUCGGAUCAGGUAGGGAUACCCGCUGAACUUAAGCAUAUCAAUAAGCGGAGGA
rnacentral:misc_RNA from 1 species